CUGGAAUCUGUUGUCUAGGGUUGCCAUGGACACAGGGUUCUUAUUCUAGUACUGCCUUGUUAGCAGCAGCAGGUAAAGACCUAGUGUGGGGGCCUCUGGCUGAGGACGUCCCAUCACACCCUCUGCCCUUUAUGUAGCUAAUGUUGCCCUUUCACCCUCACAGACCCCAGCUCCGUCCAAGACGCACCGCCUCCACUAAAACAGCCUCGCCUGCAGAUUAACUGUAGAUUAAAUUCAACCGUGAAACAAACCAUGCAGGGAGUAAAGAAGAAUUCUUUAAAUGCCUGGCUCAUGCAUCCAGAAAAUAAAGUUAUGGAUGCCUCUUUAGUUCCCUCUGACAGCGCUGACAAGAGGUGCGUGAUGUGGGUGGUGAAAAAGUAUUGGGAGUGUUGAU
ensembl:lncRNA